UACGUAGGGGCUAGCGUUGUCCGGAUUUAUUGGGCGUAAAGAGCGUGUAGGCGGCCAGGUAGGUCUGCUGUGAAAACUCGAGGCUCAACCUCGAGACGUCGGCGGAAACCAUCUGGCUAGAGUCCGGAAGAGGAGAGUGGGAAUUCCUGGUGUAGCGGUGAAAUGACGCAGAUAUCAGGAAGAACACCCGUGGCGAAGGCGGCUCUCUGGGACGGUACUGACGCUGAGACGCGAAAGCGUGGGGAGCGAACAGG
rnacentral:rRNA from 1 species